rnacentral:rRNA from 1 species
GAUGAACGCUAGCGACAGGCUUAACACAUGCAAGUCGAGGGGCAGCGAGAAAGUGCUUGCACUUUUGUCGGCGACCGGCGCACGGGUGAGUAACACGUAUGCAACCUGCCCUUGUCAGGGGGAUAAGCGGGGGAAACCCCGUCUAAUACCGCAUAUAUGAUUUGGAGGCAUCUUUAAAUCAGGAAAGAAUUAUCGGACAAGGAUGGGCAUGCGGGACAUUAGCUAGAUGGCGGGGUAACGGCCCACCAUGGCAACGAUGUCUAGGGUUCUGAGAGGAAGGUCCCCCACACUGGAACUGAGACACGGUCCAGACUCCUACGGGAGGCAGCAGUGAGGAAUAUUGGUCAAUGGUCUGACGACUGAACCAGCCAUGCCGCGUGAAGGUCACGGCCCUAUGGGUCUUAAACUUCUUUUGUAAGGGAGCAAUAAGUCUCACGUGUGGGAUGAUGAGAGUACCUUAGAAUAAGCAUCGGCUAACUCCGUGCCAG